rnacentral:tRNA from 1 species
GCCAUAGUGGUGCAACGGUAGCACACUCGGCGCGUAUUCAACAGGUCCAGGUUCGAAUCCCGGCGAGGGCA